GCGAACGCUGGCGGCAGGCUUAACACAUGCAAGUCGAGCGCCCCACCUUCAGAGGGCAGCGGCGGAAGCCGGAAGGGCGGAACCCAGAAGUCGGAAGGUUCAUUUUCUGGUUUCUGGUUUCGGGCCUUCUGGUUUCUGGUUUUCUGUUUUCUGAUGGUGGGGAGCGGCAGACGGGUGAGUAACACGUGGGAACGUGCCUUUUGGUUCGGGACAACUCCGGGAAACUGGAGCUAAUACCGGAUAAGCCCUUCGGGGGAAAGAUUUAUCGCCAAGAGAUCGGCCCGCGUCUGAUUAGCUUGUUGGUGGGGUAAUGGCCCACCAAGGCGACGAUCAGUAGCUGGUCUGAGAGGAUGAUCAGCCACACUGGGACUGAGACACGGCCCA
rnacentral:rRNA from 1 species